CGAACGCUGGCGGCGUGCUUAACACAUGCAAGUCGAACGCGAAAGGGACUUCGGUCCUGAGUAAAGUGGCGCACGGGUGAGUAACGCGUAGAUAACCUGUCUUCAUGUCUGGAAUAAUACGCCAAAGGGGUACUAAUACCGGAUAUUCUUGCUUUUCAUAAGUUAUGCAAGCAAAGGUGGCCUCUGCAUAUGCUACUGCAUGAAGAGGGGUCUGCGUACCAUUAGCUAGUAGGUGGGGUAAUGGCCUACCUAGGCGACGAUGGUUAGCGGGUCUGAGAGGAUGAUCCGCCACACUGGCACUGGAACACGGGCCAGACUCCUACGGGAGGCAGCAGUGAGGAAUAUUGCGCAAUGGGGGAAACCCUGACGCAGCGACGCCGCGUGAGUGAAGGAAGGCCUUCGGGUCGUAAAGCUCUGUCAAGAGGAAAGAAGUGUACAAUGGCUAAUACCUGUUGUAUUUGACGGUACCUCUAAAGGAAGCACCGGCUAACUCCGUGCCAGCCGCUGC
rnacentral:rRNA from 1 species